UACGAAGGGGGCUAGCGUUGCUCGGAAUGACUGGGCGUAAAGGGCGCGUAGGCGGCUUGCACAGUCAGGCGUGAAAUUCCUGGGCUCAACCUGGGGACUGCGCUUGAGACGUGUGGGCUUGAGUGGGGAAGAGGGUCGUGGAAUUCCCAGUGUAGAGGUGAAAUUCGUAGAUAUUGGGAAGAACACCCGUGGCGAAGGCGGCCCACUGGGCCGGUGCUGACGCUGAGGCGCGAAGGCGUGGGGAGCGAACGGG
rnacentral:rRNA from 1 species